rnacentral:lncRNA from 1 species
AAUUCAGCUGAAUGAGAUUAAACACCUCCCAGGAUUGCUCUUGGCUUCUUUGUGGUGGUUGUCACCUUUUACCCAUCUGAGCUGCAGGACUACAAAAUCAUUAUCCCUUCGAUUCUGCUGUUCUGCAUGCCAGCAUUUUGCUUUUUCCUUGUUCCUCUGCACGUACUCUAGGCCUGGAUCUCUUCAUGCUGAAAGAAAAAGGAAAUGUGACCAGUAACUUCAAGGGCAGAAGGAGAGGAACUGCUCUUCUCCGUGAGACAUUUAAUCACAGCCAUGGUGGGUGCUCCCUGGGACAAACAAGCAGAAAUGCAGCUAAAGCACAAGCAAUCAGCCAGGAUCACCUGGAACUUAUUCCCUUGCUCCCAGUUGUACCUCUACAUGCCACCAUGCUGUUAGCGUGUUUGCAUUGGUACAGCACCCGGAUUCUUACUGGAGGGAAUAUUUGAACAAUUACGGGUCUGUUCACAGCCCCGUUCUGGCCUGGGGCUAAGCCAGGGGGUUGUUUGAGGACGGUGGUGUUUGGAGCCUGCCAGCUGACUGGUACCAGUGGGAUCAUACUGGAACAGACGGAAAGACCAGCAAGCCUAGAGGACAACGUAACAGCUGAGAAGCUCCCCCUGCACCCAGAGUAAAAACUGAGGAGUUUUUAGUGUUUUGAUACACCUUACACACCAGACGGCACAAGUCCAAGCUCCACCAGGAGAUCUCCCUCUCCUCAGCUGUCCCACUUCUAGGGACAUUCAUGGGGACCAAAGAGCUGGCAGUGCCUGAGCACUGGUUGGGAAAGGGGACUGUGUGUGCCUGAGUGGCCUGGAAAGUUGGACAUGGGUCCAGAUGUCACAGCAAAUAGGUUUGGAGCCUCUUGCAUGAGGGUGGGUUGUCACAGCUUCCCAACUCCAGGAGAGCAAUGAUCCCAGCUCUUGUGGCCGGCACAUCUUCAGAACACAUUUGAUGACAUUUUUGUCAGUUUUUAAGCAACGUGGACUACUUUAAAUGGGGAAAACAAACAAACAAACAAAAAAGAGUUUUUUGGGAAACGAACAAACAAAGAGUUUUUUGGGUACCAUUGGGGUCACUCUCUUCUUCUCCCCCAACACCCACUUUUCCUUCUUCAAUUAAAAUAAAGGAAAAAACAUACCAUUUAAACUUUGCCUA